rnacentral:rRNA from 1 species
AGAGUUUGAUCCUGGCUCAGGAUGAACGCUGGCGGCGUGCUUAACACAUGCAAGUCGAACGAAUCUACUGUUCUUCGGGAUGGUAGGUUAGUGGCGGACGGGUGAGUAACACGUGGGUGACCUGCCCUGAAGUGGGGAAUAACCUCCCGAAAGGGAAGCUAAUACCGCAUGUCGUCUAUCAUUCAUUUGAUAGACUAAAGGUCCGUAAGGAUCGCUUCAGGAUGGGCCUGCGGCCGAUUAGGUAGUUGGUGAGGUAAUGGCCCACCAAGCCGAUGAUCGGUAGGGGGCGUGAGAGCGUGACCCCCCACACUGGCACUGACACACGGGCCAGACUCCUACGGGAGGCAGCAGUGAGGAAUAUUGCACAAUGGGCGAAAGCCUGAUGCAGCAACGCCGCGUGGGCGAUGAAGGCCUUCGGGUCGUAAAGCCCUUUUCUGAGGGAAGAGGAAGGACGGUACCUCAGGAAUAAGCCUCGGCUAACUAUGUGCCAGCAGCCGCGGUAAAACGUAGGAGGCAAGCGUUAUUCGGAAUUACUGGGCGUAAAGGGCGCGUAGGCGGCCUUCUAAGUCAGACGUGAAAUCCCUCGGCUCAACCGGGGAACUGCGUCUGAUACUGGAGGGCUUGGAUCCGGGAGAGGGAUGCGGAAUUCCAGGUGUAGCGGUGAAAUGCGUAGAUAUCUGGAGGAACACCGGUGGCGAAGGCGGCAUCCUGGACCGGCAUCGACGCUGAGGCGCGAAAGCCAGGGGAGCAAACGGGAUUAGAUACCCCGGUAGUCCUGGCCCUAAACGAUGAAUGCUUGGUGUGGCGGGUAUCGAUCCCUGCCGUGCCGGAGCUAACGCGUUAAGCAUUCCGCCUGGGGAGUACGGUCGCAAGGCUGAAACUCAAAGGAAUUGACGG